rnacentral:lncRNA from 1 species
GUACAAAUAGUAACGGAGGAUUCAGCUAUAGGAUUGGGAUCGUGAUUCUAAAUGGCUCGAGCAGGGAAGGAAAACCUGCUAGGAGCCUUGCCCUUUCGACAGACCCCAGCCAAGGUGGGGCAGAAGGAGAGCGCCCCCCGUGUCUCAAGUUCCUUGAGCAGCAGUAAAAUUCCGGUGCUCUUCAAAAGCCGAGUCCCACCAGAGUUGAAGCAAUCACAGCAGCAGAGUCCACUUCAGCAGGUAUGCCCAUCCAGCCCGAACUCCAAAGCAGUCGAGGAUCCCAAGAUGCCUCCAACGGUUUCAGCUUUGGGUGCUGCAGUUUUGAAACCAGCGGCUGGGUUAUUGCCCAAGAGCCUUUCCAGAGAACCUCUGGGGGAGGUGCAGCUGAGCACAUCUGGUCAGAGGAAUGAUAGCAACACAUCUGUUGGCAAAGAACCAAGCGCAGUUGAGUUUGUGCCGGAUGUGGCAGCUCUUGCCAGCAUACUGUCCAACACUGGGCUGACUCACCACAUGCUGAGCACGACACAGAAGCCCAGCCUGGCCCGCCGAGUCCCUCUGAGAGGGAGGAGAUUGUGCUCCGCCAGCAUUGGGACUGCCCGAGGUGCUCCAGCAGCAAAUCUAGCUUGUAUGUCUCACAUUGCCAGAUCAACAUUGAAAGAUGCAGAUCACCCACAGUCUUAUAGCCUCACUUUGAACACCCAGGAGCUCAAGGCACUUUCAACUACAUUCAAGAAUUUUGACUCUCAGCAUCGGCUGGAGGCGACGAAGCCCAGCCAGUCAACCGAGAAUCUGGGAGUGGGCAAGUGUCCAGAUUCGGGAGCCAGGCCCAACGCAGAGUGUUCAAGCAGCGUUACCACAACUGGCGUUCCAUUGCAAAGCAACUUGACUGAGAAAAAGGACACUGCAGGAUCAUCUUGGAAAGAGGAGGAGUUUGUACCAGAUCCGGCUGCCAAAGCAAGCAUCUUCUCCAAUGUAGGCCUCAGCCAUUUUGCCUUUGGAGCCAACGGGAAACUGAGCUUGGCCCAGCGGGUGCCAAUGAAAGAUGUUCGGAAGAAUCCUCUCACUAGUGGCGGCACCAAGGGUGAAAAUGCGUUUUCCUGUGGACCAUGUGCAAGAGUAUCCUCAACAGGAAAAUUUGGUCGUGUGUCCUGUUAUUCCACACAGGGCUGUAAAGGACUGGAAAAGUCACAGUCUUCAGGAACCGAACUAACAAACACACCCGGCAACAGAUGUUUAGUUGUUGACUGUUCACCCUAUGGGCUGGCUAGGAGGAUUCCCGUUGCCGGCACACAAUCCUUGCGGCGCAGCCCCUGGACAUACGGCCGUGUGCCUACUUCUUCUUGCCCAAAGCUGAGGAGGGGGGCUGCCCAGCAUCUAACAGAAACACAGCAGGUUAUGUCAGAGGCCAGCGUCACCCCACAGAUAACCUCCCCUGGUGCCAAAGAGGAGGGCACUCCCUCGUCCUGGGAAAAGGUGGCUGUGCGGCUCUUUGAUGAAGAGGUGGCUGCAUCGGUGAGGAGAGUGCCAGCUGUUCCUGUGAUCACCCCAGAAAUGGGAAAGCUCCAGCGUAUUGAGCUCCUUGCCGAGCUCUUGCAGCAGGAGGUGAACAGCGGCAUGGGCCCUGAUGUUGCCCCUUCACUGGAGAAAUUGCACAAACUCUUGUCUGCUCGCUCCUCGCCUGCUUUGGAGGCUCCCCAGCCCGGCCUCCCCUGCACACCUCUGCAGGAUCCUAGAUCCGAUGCCUGCAAGCCGACACCCGGAUCUGCUCCGACGGCCCCACCUGAACCUGGCACAACGCUCACUGGCCAGCACCCUGUCUGUCCCAAUCCCUCUGUGCGUUUGGUCCAGCUCCCUUCAUCUAAUACAGACCAGAUGAAGCACCGGCUCAGUGAGGUCCUCCGCGCCCCUCAGCACUUCUUGGAGGCCUGCCUGAAUGACGAGUGCGCUUUCUAUACUGCCCGCGUCCCUUCCGCCACCCAGCCAUCCAUACAGCGAUGUAAGGAGCCUGUGGCAAAAAUGCUGGAUGCCCUCGAUACUGUGCACUUUAUACCCAUCUCAUCACAUCAGUCUCGGUUGGUGGAAGAGGAGAGGUCUUUGUCUUCCUGAAGGUCGUGUAAGACCUAGAGGCAGUGCAUUCUUGUUCCUCAUGAACAAUGUAUUGGUGGAUUAAAUCCACCUGCAACAAUUGCUACCCUCGGAUCUUACCAUCCUCAGAUUUCACUGGGACCCUGAAUACCUGCAGGCUUGGCAGAGAGAGCCAGGAACUGAAAUCCAUUCUUGUAUUUGAAAGCUUCAGGUGCCUGGCAGGGGAAAAAAUAGAUGAUGCCCGUGAAAACAGAAGGCUGGCCUUGGGGAAAGGAAGCUUGUUAAAAUACAAGGCCCCUUACUAUUAACUGUUUGUAAACACGCAUUUAUUUUUUUUUUAAAGGAUAAUUAAAUAAUUUAAAUUAAAACAUCCUCACGUGCCUGGAAAUGAUUAUUUGCUUGCAACUGGUUUCCAAGGACAAAAAGUUUCUUUGCAAAGCCACAAUUUUCCUAAUUUUGUUACAGGUAUGCUGUCUGCAAAUGCCUUUGAUAGCUUCUGAAAGAAGUGAGUCUCGAUUACAGUUUCUGGCUCUAGGUGGAGCGUUAUAGCUAAGCAAUAAAAGAAGGUGUGAAGCCA